UACAAAUGGUGACAGGUCUCCUGAGGAUGCUGCGGUUAGAGAGCAGUCUCAGUGACGGAGGCAUCUCAAAUGUGGUUUAAGGGGAGAGAGCACAAGGUACAUGCCCACUCUGUCAUAACACAAAGCUCCACCCUUCAGCAUGCAGCCCGAAAGAGUGAGUCACCAGGCACAGAUGCCAAGGCUGAAAGAAUGCUGCAUCAUCCUAUGAAGAGCUGACUGAAGAAGAGCCUGAGGAUUGGGAAGCCGUUGUUCUCUGUUCUUGGAAGAGAUUGAAGAGUAACAGACAAUGAAUGAGUGCUAUCUGCCAGUUGGGUGACUUGUUUCAUUCUCUGAACAAGUAUGUCCCAAGUUUGGAAGGCAUUGAUAAUAGAAAGGUUGCAAAUGUCUUCCCCCCUAUUGGACCAUGGUGAGUAAGAGUUGCCAGGUGAAAGACAAGAAAACCAAGCAAGACUAAAAGUGAUACAUCUUAGAGGUGACAGGCUCAGAGGACGAUGGGCCCAGAGGUGCAGAGAGAAGAUUCAGAUCCUCAGAGAAAGAACUCCACGGACUAUGUAUGAAGAAGCAAGCCAGAAAUAAGACACACCAAGCAAUGAAUAUUGUCUGAGCUACAUAGUUGAUUAGGAUUCAUCUAUCCCAAGCCAGAAAAUAAUAAUGAGCCCAGUGAAAAGGUCAAGGAAUUGAGAGGCAUCAGACAUGGAGGCAAAAAAUUAAAUUCCCAACAACCACUCCUCCAAACACUUUAAGCCUUGUGCCUGGGCCAUGUAUUCCAAAGCCACAGUGGGAGCUGUGGGAAAUAAAUGUCUAAUGGAAUACA